rnacentral:rRNA from 1 species
AUUGAACGCUGGCGGCAUGCUUUACACAUGCAAGUCGAACGGUAACAGGUCUUCGGAUGCUGACGAGUGGCGAACGGGUGAGUAAUGCAUCGGAACGUGCCCAGUCGUGGGGGAUAACGCAGCGAAAGCUGUGCUAAUACCGCAUACGAUCUAUGGAUGAAAGCGGGGGAUCGCAAGACCUCGCGCGAUUGGAGCGGCCGAUGUCAGAUUAGCUAGUUGGUGGGGUAAAGGCCCACCAAGGCGACGAUCUGUAGCUGGUCUGAGAGGACGACCAGCCACACUGGGACUGAGACACGGCCCAGACUCCUACGGGAGGCAGCAGUGGGGAAUUUUGGACAAUGGGCGCAAGCCUGAUCCAGCCAUGCCGCGUGAGUGAAGAAGGCCUCGGUUGUAAGCUCUUUCGUCCGAAGGAAGG